UACGUAGGGUGCAAGCGUUAUCCGGAAUUAUUGGGCGUAAAGAGCUCGUAGGCGGUUGGGUAAGUCGGGUGUGAAAACUCUGGGCUCAACUCAGAGACGCCACCCGAUACUGCUCUGACUUGAGUCCGGUAGGGGGAGUGGGGAAUUCCUGGUGUAGCGGUGAAAUGCGCAGAUAUCAGGAGGAACACCGGUGGCGAAGGCGGCCAUCUGGACGGUGACUGACGCUGAGACGCGAAAGCGUGGGGAGCAAACAGG
rnacentral:rRNA from 1 species